rnacentral:rRNA from 1 species
GACGAAUCAUCUGGAAAGAUGAAUCAAAGAAGGUAAUAAUCCUGUAGUCGAAAAUGUUGUCUCUCUUGAGUGGAUCCUGAGUACGACGGAGCACGUGAAAUUCCGUCGGAAUCUGGGAGGACCAUCUCCUAAGGCUAAAUACUCUCUAGUGACCGAUAGUGAACCAGUACCGUGAGGGAAAGGUGAAAAGCACCCCGGAAGGGGAGUGAAAUAGAACCUGAAACCGUGUGCUUACAAGUAGUCAGAGCCCGUUAAUGGGUGAUGGCGUGCCUUUUGUAGAAUGAACCGGCGAGUUACGAUUUGAUGCAAGGUUAAGCAGUAAAUGUGGAGCCGUAGCGAAAGCGAGUCUGAAUAGGGCGUUUAGUAUUUGGUCGUAGACCCGAAACCAGGUGAUCUACCCUUGGUCAGGUUGAAGUUCAGGUAACACUGAAUGGAGGACCGAACCGACUUACGUUGAAAAGUGAGCGGAUGAACUGAGGGUAGCGGAGAAAUUCCAAUCGAACCUGGAGAUAGCUGGUUCUCUCCGAAAUAGCUUUAGGGCUAGCCUCAAGUGAUGAUUAUUGGAGGUAGAGCACUGUUUGGACGAGGGGCCCCUCUCGGGUUACCGAAUUCAGACAAACUCCGAAUGCCAAUUAAUUUAACUUGGGAGUCAGAACAUGGGUGAUAAGGUCCGUGUUCGAAAGGGAAACAGCCCAGACCACCAGCUAAGGUCCCAAAAUAUAUGUUAAGUGGAAAAGGAUGUGGCGUUGCCCAGACAACUAGGAUGUUGGCUUAGAAGCAGCCAUCAUUUAAAGAGUGCGUAAUAGCUCACUAGUCGAGUGACACUGCGCCGAAAAUGUACCGGGGCUAAACAUAUUACCGAAGCUGUGGAUUGUCCUUUGGACAAUGGUAGGAGAGCGUUCUAAGGGCGUUGAAGCAUGAUCGUAAGGACAUGUGGAGCGCUUAGAAGUGAGAAUGCCGGUGUGAGUAGCGAAAGACGGGUGAGAAUCCCGUCCACCGAUUGACUAAGGUUUCCAGAGGAAGGCUCGUCCGCUCUGGGUUAGUCGGGUCCUAAGCUGAGGCCGACAGGCGUAGGCGAUGGAUAACAGGUUGAUAUUCCUGUACCACCUAUAAUCGUUUUAAUCGAUGGGGGGACGCAGUAGGAUAGGCGAAGCGUGCGAUUGGAUUGCACGUCUAAGCAGUAAGGCUGAGUAUUAGGCAAAUCCGGUACUCAUUAAGGCUGAGCUGUGAUGGGGAGAAGACAUUGUGUCUUCGAGUCGUUGAUUUCACACUGCCGAGAAAAGCCUCUAGAUAGAAAAUAGGUGCCCGUACCGCAAACCGACACAGGUAGUCAAGAUGAGAAUUCUAAGGUGAGCGAGCGAACUCUCGUUAAGGAACUCGGCAAAAUGACCCCGUAACUUCGGGAGAAGGGGUGCUCUUUAGGGUUAACGCCCAGAAGAGCCGCAGUGAAUAGGCCCAAGCGACUGUUUAUCAAAAACACAGGUCUCUGCUAAACCGUAAGGUGAUGUAUAGGGGCUGACGCCUGCCCGGUGCUGGAAGGUUAAGAGGAGUGGUUAGCUUCUGCGAAGCUACGAAUCGAAGCCCCAGUAAACGGCGGCCGUAACUAUAACGGUCCUAAGGUAGCGAAAUUCCUUGUCGGGUAAGUUCCGACCCGCACGAAAGGCGUAACGAUUUGGGCACUGUCUCAACGAGAGACUCGGUGAAAUCAUAGUACCUGUGAAGAUGCAGGUUACCCGCGACAGGACGGAAAGACCCCGUGGAGCUUUACUGUAGCCUGAUAUUGAAAUUCGGCACAGCUUGUACAGGAUAGGUAGGAGCCUUUGAAACGUGAGCGCUAGCUUACGUGGAGGCGCUGGUGGGAUACUACCCUAGCUGUGUUGGCUUUCUAACCCGCACCACUUAUCGUGGUGGGAGACAGUGUCAGGCGGGCAGUUUGACUGGGGCGGUCGCCUCCUAAAAGGUAACGGAGGCGCUCAAAGGUUCCCUCAGAAUGGUUGGAAAUCAUUCAUAGAGUGUAAAGGCAUAAGGGAGCUUGACUGCGAGACCUACAAGUCGAGCAGGGUCGAAAGACGGACUUAGUGAUCCGGUGGUUCCGCAUGGAAGGGCCAUCGCUCAACGGAUAAAAGCUACCCCGGGGAUAACAGGCUUAUCUCCCCCAAGAGUUCACAUCGACGGGGAGGUUUGGCACCUCGAUGUCGGCUCAUCGCAUCCUGGGGCUGUAGUCGGUCCCAAGGGUUGGGCUGUUCGCCCAUUAAAGCGGUACGCGAGCUGGGUUCAGAACGUCGUGAGACAGUUCGGUCCCUAUCCGUCGUGGGCGUAGGAAAUUUGAGAGGAGCUGUCCUUAGUACGAGAGGACCGGGAUGGACAUACCUCUGGUGUACCAGUUGUCGUGCCAACGGCAUAGCUGGGUAGCUAUGUGUGGACGGGAUAAGUGCUGAAAGCAUCUAAGCAUGAAGCCCCCCUCAAGAUGAGAUUUCCCAACUUCGGUUAUAAGAUCCCUCAAAGAUGAUGAGGUUAAUAGGUUCGAGGUGGAAGCAUGGUGACAUGUGGAGCUGACGAAUACUAA